CCCUUAGAUGUUCUGGGCCGCACGCGCGUUACACUGAUGCAUUCAACGAGCUUAUAACCUUGGCCGAGAGGCCUGGGCAAUCUUGUUAACGUGCAUCGUGAUAGGGAUAGAUUAUUGAAAUUAUUAAUCUUGAACGAGGAAUUCCUAGUAAACGCAGAUCAUCAAUCUGCAUUGAUUACGUCCCUGCCCUUUGUACACACCGCCCGUCGCACCUACCGAUUGGAUGGUCCGGUGAAGCCUCGGGAUUGUGGUUCUUGCCGCUUUAUUGUGGCGUGACCGCGAGAACUUGUCUAAACCUUAUCAUCUAGAGGAAGGUGAANUCGUAACA
rnacentral:rRNA from 1 species